UAGUGCAUGUUAACUAAUGUUAACUAAUGAUAUUUUAUUGUAAAGUGUUAUAGGUAGGGCCCACUAUAUCCUUUUUUUACCAAGAAAGAGAGAGAGAGAGAGAGAGAGAGAGAGAGAGAGAGAGAGAGAGAGAGAGAGAGAGAGAUCAUGCUGCUCUGGUGUGUGAUUGAGGCCAGGGCUGGGUGUUUCAUUAUUAAGAUGGAAAGUCUCAUCAGACUGAAGCGACAUAUGGAACAGAGAACAUGGGAGUCUUGGCUAAAUCACAUCCUGUGAAAGCUGUCACCACACAGCAGUCCCAAUGGCCCAUUCAGGCUGUGGUGUCAUUUUCAUAACAUGAGUUCAGGACUGAUGUGUGGGGAAGCAUCCGCCGUCGAGACUAUGAAGCGAUGCAAGAGAUAAAGUGUUUCUAAUGAGCUUUUGGGACUCUUGGGAAGUAAAUAUUCUUCGAAUGUGAGAAAGGUCUGAAAUAUGAAAAGUGGAUGUGUGUUUUGGCUGCAGCACUGAUACGCUGUAUCCUUUACAGCCUCUACAGAGUGUGACAGUGGACAUGUUGAGGCAGAGAAUACCAUCACGCCACUGACAAAUGGCUAUACCAGACAGAGAUAGAUGGUGAAAAGGAGAAAGAGAUCUAAAAGUGAGAGAAAGAGGUUCUGCUAUUGCUUUACACAUCACAAAAAUAAAACAUUCCCCAGGGCCGACAUUUCAGAGCUUCAUCAAUGUAGUGUUGAGGAACUCUCUUCCCCGGGCCAUGCACAGAAAGGACGAGAUAUUUCGAUCUGCAUGUUUGUGGUAAUUAGAAUACAAAUGGGUCUUGUAAAUUCUUUAAGAUGCUACAAGGGGUUUAAGAGGUCAGUGGAGGAUAGGUGUUGGACGGUUUUGGGGAAGACUGUAUAUAGACUGCAUUAUGAGUAUAGACUGGGUGGAAAACUGCACUAUAAUUUCUCAAUUUCCUUCUUUUGUUUGCCUGUUCAACUGAGGUAUGCUAUUUACAUUUUACAAAGUAAUUUGUUAUGUUUGACAUUUUAUAUUUGCAUUUGAUUUGCUGUAUGCAUGCAUUAGGUUUCAUAAACAACAAUGAACAA